rnacentral:rRNA from 1 species
CCAGACUCCUACGGGAGGCAGCAGUGGGGGAUAUUGCACAAUGGGGGGAACCCUGAUGCAGCGACGCCGCGUGGGUGAAGAAGCGCCUCGGCGCGUAAAGCCCUGUCAGCAGGGAAGAAAAUGACGGUACCUGAAGAAGAAGCCCCGGCUGACUACGUGCCAGCAGCCGCGGUAAUACGUAGGGGGCAAGCGUUAUCCGGAUUUACUGGGUGUAAAGGGGGCGCAGACGGCGAUGCAAGCCAGGAGUGAAAGCCCGGGGCCCAACCCCGGGACUGCUCUUGGAACUGCGUGGCUGGAGUGCGGGAGGGGCAGGCGGAAUUCCUGGUGUAGCGGUGAAAUGCGUAGAUAUCAGGAGGAACACCGGUGGCGAAGGCGGCCUGCUGGACUGCAACUGACGUUGAGGCCCGAAAGCGUGGGGAGCAAACAGGAUUAGAUACCCGCGUAGC